GAUGAAGAACGUAGCGAAAUGCGAUAAGUAAUGUGAAUUUCAGAAUUCAGUGAAUCAUCGAAUCUUUGAACGCACAUUGCGCCCGCCAGUAUUCUGGCGGGCAUGCCUGUUCGAGCGUCAUUACAACCCUCAGGCCCCCGGGCCUGGCGUUGGGGAUCGGCGGAGCCCCCCGUGGGCACACGCCGUCCCCCAAAUGCAGUGGCGGUCCCGCCGCAGCUUCCAUCGCGUAGUAGCUAACACCUCGCGACUGGAGAGCGGCGCGGCCACGCCGUAAAACACCCAACUCUUCUGAAGUUGACCUCGAAUCAGGUAGGAAUACCCGCUGAACUUAAGCAUAUCAAUAAGCGGAGGA
rnacentral:misc_RNA from 1 species